UACGUAGGGGGCAAGCGUUAUCCGGAUUUACUGGGUGUAAAGGGAGCGUAGACGGCGAUGCAAGUCUGAAGUGAAAGGCGGGGGCCCAACCCCCGGACUGCUUUGGAAACUGUAUAGCUGGAGUGCAGGAGAGGUAAGUGGAAUUCCUAGUGUAGCGGUGAAAUGCGUAGAUAUUAGGAGGAACACCAGUGGCGAAGGCGACCUGCUAGAACAUAACUGACGCUGAUGCGCGAAAGCGUGGGGAGCAAACAGG
rnacentral:rRNA from 1 species